GGGGAUUUAGCUCAGCGGUAGAGCACUUGCCUAGGAAGCGCAAGGCCCUGGGUUCGGUCCCCAGCUCCG
rfam:Rattus norvegicus chromosome 1, whole genome shotgun sequence.